AGCACCUGGAUAGCUGAAGACUAAUUCUCACUGACUUCAACAGAAGUCAUUAUGGCCAGGGAUAUGUGGUGAAAUCCUCUCUCAUGAUGCCGGGUUGGAGCAGGAAGCCUCAGCCCCCAGUCAGCCAGGGAUCAAGAGGGUCAACAACCUGACAGCCAUCUGUGCCCAUAUGCCAUUCUGUUUUUUGCUUUCAGUAAAAUAUUCAACUAAUUA